ensembl:misc_RNA Metazoa_SRP Metazoan signal recognition particle RNA
GCUGGACUUGGUGGCACAGAUCAGUAAUCUUUGCAUCUGGGAGACUGAGGUUGCUGGACUGCUUGAGGUGGGGGUUGCAGUCCUUGUGUGCGCUAUGGCGAAUGGGAGUCCUGGUGACGAUCAGCAUCAACAUGAUGCUUCUUGGGAGGCUCGGCACACCAGGUCAUCUAGGGAGGGGUGAACCAACCCAGGCUGGUGACAGAGCAGGUGAACGCCCCUGUGGUUUUGCACCUGUGAGUAGCAGCUACGGUGCUGCCAAGACAACACAGCAGGACGCGGCCUUUU